rnacentral:lncRNA from 1 species
GUCAACACCAUAGAAUUCAGGCAAUGUAUAACUUUAGGUGAGCGUUCAUGAAAUUCGGAACUACAAUCCAACACUUUGAUCAUGUACCACGAAAUCAACUACAAAUUGGGCCAGCGCACAAUCCCAAUCAGCAUACAACUAAAUUCUCGGCCUCAGUCACAAUGCGAUACUGUUCCGAGCUCGGAAGAAAGGUUUCAUGUUUAAUUUUGUCAUCAGUUGCACAAAGUCACAUGGUUUGCGAGAAACAUUUUGUGUUUAACUCUAGCAGUGCAGUAGAAUCAGCAUGGGCAUAAGCAAGCAUACAUCCAUUACCUUUUGGAAGCUGCUUCUUCACUUCCUGACACGCUGCUUCUUCACUGUGAAGCGGUAGACCACCGGACCAUGGCGCCAGCCUUCCGGGGGUGGAUCCUUGUGCAACACCUCAAUGUCGAACACCUUCCUGGCCUUCCCGAAGAAUUUCUUAUCCGUGCGUUUCCACCUCCUCAUAUGCGCCAUCAGGAACACCACAUCGCUCUUCACGAAGAACCGCAGCGUCUCUAUCAAGGGGUCAACCAACUCCUCGUAGUAGACCACGUCCGACGCCACGACGAGGNNNNN